rnacentral:rRNA from 1 species
UAGGGAAUCUUCCGCAAUGGGCGAAAGCCUGACGGAGCAACGCCGCGUGAGUGAUGAAGGUCUUCGGAUCGUAAAACUCUGUUAUUAGGGAAGAACAAAUGUGUAAGUAACUAUGCACGUCUUGACGGUACCUAAUCAGAAAGCCACGGCUAACUACGUGCCUGCAGCCGUGGUAAUACGUAGGUGGCAAGCGUUAUCCGGAAUUAUUGGGCGUAAAGCGCGCGUAGGCGGUUUUUUAAGUCUGAUGUGAAAGCCCACGGAUCAAACGGCGAGUGUCAUUGGAAACUGGAAAACUUGAGUGCAGAAGAGGAAAGUGGAAUUCCAUGUGUAGCGGUGAAAUGCGCAGAGAUAUGGAGGAACACCAAUGGCGAAGGCGACUUUCUGGUCUGUAACUGACGCUGAUGUGCGAAAGCGUGGGGAUCAAACAGG